rnacentral:lncRNA from 1 species
UUGAACCAUAAACACAUCCGACGGAGGAAGUAAUUGUGACCUGAACAGAUCAAAGAAGGUGACCGGACUCUAAAAAGAAAACACUGUUCCAAGGAUAGAAAUGCCUGUCGACGUGCCAAGCCCACCUCCUCCC